rnacentral:misc_RNA from 1 species
UCCGGUUUGUCACCGGCAGUCUCAUUAGAGUGCUCAACUGAAUGUAGCAACUAAUGACAAGGGUUGCGCUCGUUGCGGGACUUAACCCAACAUCUCACGACACGAGCUGACGACAGCCAUGCAGCACCUGUGUUCAGGUUCCCUUUCGGGCACCUCUGCAUUUCUGCAGAGUUCCUGACAUGUCAAGGGUAGGUAAGGUGGGGAUGACGUUAGCCUAUCGAGA